rnacentral:rRNA from 1 species
UACGGGGGGGGCAAGCGUUGUUCGGAAUUACUGGGCGUAAAGGGCUCGUAGGUGGCCAACUAAGUCAGACGUGAAAUCCCUCGGCUUAACCGGGGAACUGCGUCUGAUACUGGAUGGCUUGAGUUUGGGAGAGGGACGCGGAAUUCCAGGUGUAGCGGUGAAAUUCGUAGAUAUCGGGAGGAACACCAGUGGCGAAGGCGGCGACCUGGGCCAAUACUGACGCUGAGGUGCGAAAGCGUGGGGAGCAAACAGG